CCUACGGGUGGCAGCAGUGGGGAAUAUUGCACAAUGGAGGGAACUCUGAUGCAGCGACGCCGCGUGAGUGAAGAAGUAAUUCGUUAUGUAAAGCUCUAUCAGCAGGGAAGAAAGAGACGGUACCUGAAAAAGAAGCUCCGGCUAAAUACGUGCCAGCAGCCGCGGUAAUACGUAUGGAGCAAGCGUUAUCCGGAUUUAAUGGGGGGAAAGGGAGAGUAGGUGGCAGAGCAAGUCCGAAGUGAAAACCCAAAGCUCAACUAUGGGAAUGCUUUAGAAACGGCUCAGCUAGAGUGCAGGAGAGGCGAGUGGAAUUCUUAGUGUAGCGGUGAAAUGCGUAGAUAUUAGGAGGAACACCAGUGGCGAAGGCGGCCUGCUGGACGAUGACUGACGUUGAGGCUCGAAAGCGUGGGGAGCAAACAGGAUUAGAUACCCGAGUAGUC
rnacentral:rRNA from 1 species